AACGCGAAGAACCUUACCAAGGUUUGACAUGGCCGGAAAAGCCUCAGAGAUGGGGUGUCCGUAAGGGUCGGUCACAGGUGGUGCAUGGCUGUCGUCAGCUCGUGCCGUGAGGUGUUGGGUUAAGUCCCGCAACGAGCGCAACCCUUACUCGUAGUUGCUACCCGCAAGGGAGAACUCUACGAGGACUGCUCCGGAUAACGGAGAGGAAGGUGGGGAUGACGUCAAGUCAGCACGGCCUUUAUGUCCAGGGCUACACACGUGUUACAAUGCACGGUACAGACUGUUGCGAACCCGCGAGGGGGAGCUAAUCGGAUAAAACCGUGCUCAGUUCGGAUUGCAGUCUGCAACUCGGCUGCAUGAAGCUGGAAUCGCUAGUAAUGGCGUAUCAGAUCGACGCCGUGAAUACGUUCCCGGGCCUUGUACACACCGACAUA
rnacentral:rRNA from 1 species